rnacentral:sRNA from 1 species
AGCAGCCGCGGUAAUUCCAGCUCCAAUAGCGUAUAUUAAAGUUGUUGCAGUUAAAAAGCUCGUAGUUGAAUUUCGGGGUCAGUAGGUCGGUCGUGCCACAGGUAUGCACUGGUCUCACUGAUUCCUCCUUCCUGAUGAACCGGAAUGCCAUUAAUUUGGUGUUGCGGGGAGACUGGACUGUUACUUUGAAAAAUUAGAGUGUUUAAAGCAGGCUAACGCUUGAAUACAUUAGCAUGGAAUAACGGAAUAGGACGUUCGAUCUUAUUUUGUUGGUUUCUAAGAUUGACGUAAUGAUUAAUAGGGAUAGUUGGGGGCAUUAGUAUUCAAUUGUCAGAGGUGAAAUUCUUGGAUUUAUUGAAGACUAACAACUGCGAAAGCAUUUGCCAAGGAUGUUUUCAUUAAUCAAGAACGAAAGUUGGGGGCUCGAAGACGAUCAGAUACCGUCCUAGUCUCAACCAUAAACGAUGCCGACCAGGGAUCGGCGGAUGUUACUUUUAGGACUCCGCCGGCACCUUAUGGG